UCAUUGGAGAGUUUGAUCCUGGCUCAGGACGAACGCUGGCGGCGUGCCUAAUACAUGCAAGUCGAGCGGACCGAAUGAG
rnacentral:ncRNA from 1 species